CAGUCGCCACGGUAAUACGAAGGGGGCUAGCGUUGCUCGGAAUAACUGGGCGUAAAGGGCGCGUAGGCGGUUUGUACAGUUGGAUGUGAAAUUCCUGGGCUUAACCUGGGGGCUGCAUUCAAUACGUGCAGGCUUGAGUGUGGAAGAGGGUUGUGGAAUUCCCAGUGUAGAGGUGAAAUUCGUAGAUAUUGGGAAGAACACCGGCGGCGUAGGCGGCAACCUGGUCCAUUACUGACGCUGAGGCGCGAAAGCGUGGGGAGCAAACAGGAUUAGAUACCCCGGUAGUCCCUGUCUCUUAUAC
rnacentral:rRNA from 1 species